UACGUAGGUGGCAAGCGUUGUCCGGAUUUACUGGGCGUAAAGGGCGUGCAGGCGGUUUGUUAAGUGCAGGGUGAAAGCUCCCGGCUCAACUGGGAGAGGUCCUUGCAUACUGGCGAACUCGAGGGAGGCAGAGGAAAAGUGAAUUCCCGGUGUAGUGGUGAUAUGCGUAGAUAUCGGGAGGAACACCUGUGGCGAAGGCGGGGUCUCUGGACAGUUCCUGACAUGAGACACGAAGGCCAGGGGGAGCAAAACGGGG
rnacentral:rRNA from 1 species